rnacentral:tRNA from 1 species
GUGGCCGUGGUGUAAUCGGUAAACACAAUUCGUCGCGAACGGAUUUUCUGCAGGUUCGAAUCCUGUCGGCCACACCA